UAUGUGAUCGUCUCUCGCAUAUCAAUAAGCGGAGGAAAAGAAACUAACAAGGAUUCCCCUAGUAACGGCGAGCGAAGCGGGAAGAGCUCAAAUUUGAAAUCUUAAAGGGUUUCCCUUUACGAAUUGUAGUUUAAAGAAGUGUUUUCUGUUGAGGUUUUGGUAAAAGUUCUUUGGAAUAGGACAUCAUAGAGGGUGAGAAUCCCGUAUUUGACCUUUACUUUCAACUUUGUGAUACACUUUCAAAGAGUCGGAUUGUUUGGGAAUGCAGUCCAAAAUGGGUGGUAAAUUUCAUCUAAAGCUAAAUAUUGGCGAGAGACCGAUAGCGAACAAGUACCGUGAGGGAAAGAUGAAAAGAACUUUGAAAAGAGAGUUAAACAGUACGUGAAAUUGUCAAAAGGGAAGCGUUUGACACCAGUGUUGUUUUUCUGAAAAUCAAUUAAAGAACUGUUUAUGCUAAGUUGUUUAGACUUUAUCAGCUAACUGUUUAGUUUUGAGCUUUUCUUUAAUGCACUUUUCAGUUAACAAGUCAACAUCAAUUUCUUUUGCUGUAAAAAAGCUUGAGGAAGGUGGCUUGAGAUUCGUCUUAAGUGUUUAUAGCCUCUUGCCUAUACAGUCGGAGAGACUGAGGUCUGCAGCGUAGAUCCUUCGGGGCUAAAUGCAUUUGUGCUAAGUUAUAGCAUUUUAUAGACAACUUGUUGACUAUGAUUUGUCUUGUAGCUUACUCGCUUAUGUUAUUUUACCUACGCUUAGGAUGUUGAAGUCAUCGUAUCGCC
rnacentral:rRNA from 1 species